rnacentral:rRNA from 1 species
AACGCGAAGAACCUUACCUGGGCUCGAAAUGCAGGAGACCGGGGUAGAAAUAUCCUUUCCUCGCAAGAGGCUGCUGUAUAGGUGCUGCAUGGCUGUCGUCAGCUCGUGUCGUGAGAUGUUGGGUUAAGUCCCGCAACGAGCGCAACCCUUAUCAUUAGUUGCCAACACGUAAGGUGGGGACUCUAAUGAGACUGCCUAGGUUAACUAGGAGGAAGGUGAGGAUGACGUCAAGUCCGCAUGGCCUUUAUGUCCAGGGCUACACACGUGCUACAAUGGUCGGUACAGAGGGCUGCAAGACCGUAAGGUGGAGCAAAUCCCAGAAAGCCGAUCUCAGUUCAGAUUGUGGUCUGCAACUCGGCCACAUGAAGUCGGAAUUGCUAGUAAUGGCGAGUCAGCAACAUCGCCGUGAAUACGUUCCCGGGCCUUGUACACACCGACGCGUA